UACAGAGGGUGCAAACGUUGUUCGGAUUUACUGGGCGUAAAGCGCGUGUAGGCGGCUAUGUAAGUCGGGCGUGAAAUCCCACGGCUCAACCGUGGAAGUGCACCCGAAACUGCGUAGCUAGAGUCCUGGAGAGGAAGGUGGAAUGCUUGGUGUAGAGGUGAAAUUCGUAGAUAUCAAGCGGAACACCGGUGGCGAAGGCGGCCUUCUGGACAGUGACUGACGCUGAGACGCGAAAGCGUGGGGAGCAAACAGG
rnacentral:rRNA from 1 species